AAACAAAAUAAAAUAAAAUAAAACAAAAUAAAACAAAAUAAAAUAAAAUAAAAUAAAAUAAAAUAAAAAAUUGGAGGAUCUCCUUCCUACUCGGUGGGCAGGGAGACCUCCCUGAGGAGAGGACCUGUGAGCAGAGAACCAAAGGGUGUUUUGGAGCGGGGCAUGAGGAAAGGGGAGGGAAAAGCAUUCCAGACAGAGGGGUGGAGCUAGUCCAGAGGUGUCUUUGGGGCCAGGUGUGCGGGACUUAGGCCAGGAUGGGCACGGGAGUGGCGGGGGGGUGGGGGGAAUGAGCAGAAUUUGCUGCCACCCCGAUUGCUGGUCAUGGGUUGUCCCAGCAGAUAGGAUACUCAUAGAUGACAACAGCCAACACUGUGCUGAACACCUACUAUGUGGAGGCCACUGUGCUAAGCUAUUUAUGUGUAUUAACUCAUUCUGUCCUCGGAACAACCCUAUCCGGUAGGUGCUGUUAAAUAAAAUGCAUGGGAGGCCAUUGUUUCAGACUAGCCUCCUGUACUAGGCCCAUCCUACCAGACCAAAUCAGAAAGGAGUCACUUGUGCUAAGAGCUCCAUGCUCAAACUGAACUUUGAAAUGGGUCUGUUUCUCUAGAGAACAGGAGCUUCCAGUCAACCUGAGUCACUGGCCUAAGGAAGUCUUCUCUGCUGUAACCCUUUACAAGGAAAGUAACUGUGAAACAACCAUUCCGUUUUUCGUUCUCUGUCUCUGCCCUCUUUAGCACCUCUCUGCCUAUAAAAAAGCUAACAUCCUCUGUUCAGCUUAUUGGAAUCUCCCUUCUAUUUCACAGAGGGAGGUGUUGCCUGAUUCUAGAAUUGCAAAUAAAAGGCAAUUAGAUUUUUUUUUUUUUUGAGAUGGAGUCUCACUGUGUUGCCCAGGCUGGAGUGCGGUGGUGCUAUCUCAGCUCACUGCAACAUCCACCUCCCGGGUUGAAGCAAUUCUCCUGCCUCAGCCUCCCUAGUAGCUGGGAUUACAGGCAUCUGCCACCACGCCCAGCUAAUUUUUGUAUUUUAGUAGAGACGAGGUUUCACCAUGUUGGCCAGGCUGGCCUCGAACUCCUGACCUCAAGCAAUCCACCUGCCUUGGCCUCCCAAAGUGCUGGGACUACAGGUGUGAGCCACUGCACCUGGCCCUAAAAGCCAAUUAGAUCUUUAAACUAAGCGUGUUGUCAUUUGACAUUACUCCUAUCCUCCCCAUAAGGAGACUGAGGCCCAGAGAGAGGGUGUGAAUGCAGGUGCUCCGGCUCCAGAGCCGGUGCUCCUGACCCCAGGCCAUGCUGCUGUCCCUUUCGUUCAGGCCGCCCCCACUGCACAGGGAUGGAAAAUGGGGCCCAGAAAGGAGGUGUCAACUCCCCAAAGUCCAGUAACAAAAGAGUGGCAGAGUAGGGAUUUCAACUUGGGUUUCCACAGCCACAGAGGCUGCUCAUUCUCCCAAGAGUGCGUUGAGGCUGACAUAGGUGGCUGGGUGGGACCGGGGCGCUCUGCCCGUGGCCUUACCUGAGCCUGGGCCUCCUCACUUGGACCUGGGGUAGUCACAGGCCCCGCCCCCUGGGGUAGCGUGAGAUGGAAUGAGUUCGGCACCUGGCACAGUCCAUAGUGUGAACCCCAGUGGGACAGUUAUUCACCAGCCUUCCGGGCAGGGAUGGCCCACUCACCAGCUGCUCCUCCCCUGUGCGAGGGGCGCCUGAGUCAUGGGAACAAGGACGAACAGGACUGAAACUGUGCAAGUUAAAGCAAGCGAAGGACAAGGAUCCCUGUGGGAGCCUGGCAUGAGACUUCUGGGCUCUGGGCCUUUGCACUGACCGUUCCUCCUGCCUGGAGCACCUUUCCUCUUUUGCCUCUUCUUCUGCUUUAGUUUUUGAUGCCCCUGGGCAGAGUCGAGGAUUUCCUCCUCUCAUCGCUGCCAGCAACUUAAAGUGGUUGGGUAUGAACCUGCUUCCUCAAAGCAGUGCUUGGGUUGGUCCAUUCAUUUGGAUCCUCAGGGCAACAAACAGGGCUGGGCACAGAGACUGGCAGGGGACUGUGCUGGCAGGUGGGGGAAUGUCACAACCUGGGCUGCAGGGUGAGGGGCGGGGCAAGGCAGGCCCUCAUCCCACACUUAACAUCUGUGAUAAUUCCCUUUCAGGUCCACACGUGCCCACUGUGGGACCUCACCAAACUUGUUCCAUCAUCUGAAAAGUGGGGAGAAUAGGAGGAUUUACCUCCUGGGUUUAUUAGGAAGAUUUAAGGAGCUAACCCUGGAAAAUGCUGCACAGGAGGAGGCUGUUCUCCGAAGUUCCCUUAUCUGCUAGAAACUGGACCCCAAAGAGGAACACGAUUGCUUUCGAUCCCUUCCCUGAAAUUUCAUUAACUGGAGAUUAAAAUUCAUAUCACAGAGGAAGAGAAAAUUAAACACCACAUCUAGAGUCCAGACAAACUUUGUCCCAAAUGAGUGUUUCUUCUUCGGUCCCACUCAAUUUCCAAAGAAAAUCAUCUGUAAGAUAAUGUCUGCCUCCCAGGCCCAUUAAUGCCUCCUAACAGUCAUUCACUCCUACAGCCCCGUCUCCCCUUCCCCAGCGAAGAAGCGGAUAUAAACAUCUGGACCUCAAUGGAUAACUGGGUAAUCAUUCUCCUAUGAUUCCCCUGUGCUAGGCAUGUUAAAUACAUUUUUUAUGCUUUU
rnacentral:lncRNA from 10 species